rnacentral:lncRNA from 1 species
AGCGGAGUGGGGGUGACAUUUGGGGGGCUGUGACACCCCCAGGGUGACGUUUGGGGUGUCCAGGGGUGACACUCGGUGUCCCGGGGGUGGUGACGAUCGCCGGUCCUGGGGUCACCAAGGCAGUGACAAUCGGUGUCCUCAGGGAGGUGACAAUCGGUGUCCCUGGGGAGGUGACAAUCACCAAUCCCGGUGUCACCAAGGCGGUGACAGUCUGUGUCCUUGGGGAGGUGACAAUCGCCAUUCCCGGGUGUCCCCGGUGAGGUGACAAUCACCAGUCCUGGUGUCCCCAAGGAGGUGACAAUCGGUGUCCCCGGUGAGGUGACAAUCGCCGUUCCCGGUGUCCCCGGUGAGGUGACAAUCACUGUCCCCGGUGAGGUGACAAUCGCCGUUCCCGCUGUCCCCGCGGGGUCCCCACCACCAGAGCUGCAGCCGGAUGUCCCCGCCCGGGGCUGGCCGGUUGUCACCGUCACCGUCACCGUCACCG